AUUGAACGCUGGCGGCAGGCCUAACACAUGCAAGUCGAACGAGUGGCGGACGGGUGAGUAAUGUCUGGGCAACUGCCUGAUGGAGGGGGAUAACUACUGGAAACCGUAGCUAAUACCGCAUACCAUCAGAUGUGCCCAGAUGGGAUUAGCUGGUUGGUGUGGUAACGGCUGACAAAGGCGACGAUCCCUAGCUGGGCUGAGAGGAUGACCGGCAAAACUGGACCGGAGACACGGCCCAGACUCCUACGGGAGGAAGCAGUGGGGAAUAUUGGACAAUGGGCGAAAGCCUGAUGCAGCAAUGCCGCGGGUAUGAAGAAGGCCUUCGGGUUGUAAAGUACUUUCAGCGGGGAGGCGUUACCCGCAGAAGAAGCACCGGCUAACUCCGUGCCAGCAGCCGCGGUAAUUC
rnacentral:rRNA from 1 species